ensembl:lncRNA
GUCUAAUUUUAAAAGUAUGUAUGAAGAUGUAAAGUUUUUCAAAAUAUUUUGAGGAAGUAGAUCAACGGAAAGUUUGAGUGAACCAAAACUAUAUCUGGAAUUCUAGUUGCAAAUAAGCCUCAAAAAUUUGGCCUGACUCUUGUGUGACCCAGUUCUAGACCAUUAUUCUCAGUUCUGCUAUUGCUCUCUGUUCAUGUUGAAGCCAGAUAGCUCUUGAGUUGCAGGACCACCAAAAUCCCGUGAUCUGAUUUGCUCUCCCACACCCUGGCCUUUGGGAGAGAAAAGGAAGGGGGAUGGAGGAUAGUUCUCCCUUUGUCCUAUUGUCCUUUGUAAUGGACUGAACUGUAUCCCCCACAACCCUCCAAACUUCGCAUGUUGAAGUCCUAACUCCCAGUACCUCAGAAGGUGACUUUAUUUGGAGAUAGUGUCUUGAAAGAAGUAACUGAGUUAAAAAGAGGUGAUGAGGGUGGGACCUAAUCCAAUAUGACUGAUGUCCUUAUAAGAAGAAGAGGUUAGGACGCAGGCACACAGAGGAGAAAGGCCAUGUGAAGACACAAGGAGAAGACAGCCAUCUCCAAGCCUCAGAAGAAACCAAUCCCACUGACACCUUGAUCUCGGACUUCUAGCUUCCAAGACUGUGAGAAAAUAAAUUUCUGUUGUUUAAUCCCCCCAGUCUGUGGUCCUCUGUUAUGGCAGCCCCAGCAAACUAAUCCAUCCCCGAAUAUUUGGACGUAGGCCUAGUCCUUACUAUUGAAGGGACUGCUAUGAUAAGACUGUAACAUUUAAUUAGAUUUUACUGAAGGCUUGGGCACAAUUGAAGAAAAUGACAAUAGGAAACCCUUCAAUUCUUUUUUUUAAAUUAAUUUUUAUUGAGGUAACAUUAGUUUAUAACAUUAUAUAAAUCUCAGGUGUACAUCAUUCUAUUUCGACUUCUGUGUAGACUAUGUCAUGUUCACCACCCAAAGUCUAAUUGCCAUCCAUCACUGUACUCAUGUGCCCUUUUACCCCUUUCCCCCUGGUAACCACCAGUCUAUUCCCCGUGUCUAUGUGUUUGUUGUUGUUAUUGUUUUUAUCUUCCACAUAUGAGUGAAAUCAUACAGUAUUUGACUUUCUCUGUCUGACCUAUUUCACUUAGCAUAAUGCCCUCAAGGUCCAUCCAUGUUGUUGCAAACGGCAAGAUUUCAUCUUUUUAUGGCUGUGUAGUAUUCCGUUGUGUAUAUAUACCACAUCUUUAUCCAUUCACCAUUGAUGGGCACUUAGGUUGUUUCCAAGUCUUGGCUAUCGUGAAUAAUGCUGCAAAGAACAUAGGGGUGCCUAUAUCACUUCAAAUUAGUGUUCUCAUGUUCUUUAGAUAAAUACCCAGAAGUGGAAUAGCUGGAGCAUAUGGUAGUUUUAUUCUUAAUUUUUUGCAGAAUCUCCAUACUGUUUUUCACAGUGGCAGGAAACUCUUCAGUUCUGAUGGAAGAUAUUAUGGAUCUUAGAGAUCACAGCCCAAGACCCUAAGAGCUUUCCAACUGGAAACAGACCAAGUGUGGCCGCCUCUACCAAGGCUUGCCCAUAUUCCUUCGGCCUUACCACUGCAGUGCACACUGGCUGGACUUUGUACCACCAGCAUUUGCAUCACUCUCCUGAAGGUUUUCUCAAAAGUCAUGGAGGCCACUCUGCCCCACUCAACGCAGACUAGAAGGGACAGGGAAUUCAUAUGCCAGGAAGCAGUCUUCAACCAAUGACUGAUGAAAGCUGGUGAAGUACAAUUGUAGAAACGUGCACUGGAUCUGCACACAUUCCUCUCCUGAAGUCUCCCUGGAUAAAAGGAGGCAUGAGUAUUCUGAAGGAAGAGCCAACACAAGUGGAUGUAGCAGCCUGGCCUAACCUCCAACACGUCUGCCUCAAUGACCCGAUGUCUUUGCCUGUUUCCUUUUAUUCUAUUCCAUCCCGAAUCGGGCCCCAGCUCUGGUCUAGCCAAUAGGUGUGAGACUCACAUAUUCUCACUUGUGAUAUGCUAUUUCUUUUCCCUAGAGGCCAAAGUUGGUUUCUAAUAACCACCUGUAUCAUCUUGCAGAGGCCUUUUGAAAUGGGUGGCCAGAUUCACCUCACUAUGGCUGGGGGACACCAUGACUCCUCAGAUUUACUUCCCUUGGGAUCUAAAAUCUGCCAGGACUGGACAGCAGUUUAAUCCUUGAAUGUGCUCUAUUAGACCCUGGCUCAAGACCCUUACUUCUCAGCCUACCCCCUCCCCCCCCAUGCCUUAUUUCAUUUUCUUUGAUUCUAACUAAUGCCAAUUCCAGUAGAGGCUCAAGUCAGGCUCCUUCAUCAUUGGUCAGAGUUCCCAGCAAAUCGUGCUGGAAAUCCUUAGCAUUUUAACAAUGGAGUCACUGCUCCACUAGGACUAAUGGGCAAGCCAGGCCCAUUUCUGAAUGCAAGAGUCUCUGUCUCUGGGUCACUUACUUUCAAUUGCUAGGUUAUUUCAUUUCAAUCCUCUCGGCAUUUUUUCACUUACUGUUUAUUUUCAAAUUUGAUGUCCUACUUGUUCCUGUAUUCUUUCCUCAAUCCUUGGACCUAGCAUCUUCUUUCUGGCUCAUUUCUCUCACUUUGGCACCCUGAGUCCCUUGCCAAGUAAACUUGAUAAUGUUAGACAUCUUAAUUUUUGUCUAUCUAGUGAUUUUAAAAUGUAAUUUCAAAGGCAGUUCUAACUCACAAUUCUCUGAUAACUAUUGCGGAUAUGCAAAAUUUUUUACAUAUUUAUUGGUCAUUUAUAUUUCCUUUUCUGUGAAAUGCCGAUUCACAUCUUUUCCCGUUUUUCUGUUGGAUUAUUGUUAAAUAUUCUGGCUAUAAUCCGAUGUAAGUUAUGUGUGAUGCAAAUAAAUCUAGUUUGUGGCUCUUGGGUUUUCCUUCUUUAGAGUGUACUUUGAUAAAACUUUCUAAUUUUUUUUUCUUGAGGAAAAUUAGCCCUGAGCUAACAUCUGUGGCAAUCUUCUCUACUUUAUAUGUGGGUCCUCACUACAGCAUGGCUGAAGAGUAGUGUAGGUCCAUGCCUGGGAUCCCUAAACCUGCCAAUCCAGGCCUCCAAAGCAGAAGGUGCCGAACUUUAACCACUAAGCCACGGGGUUGGCCCCAAAAAGUUUCUAAGUUUAAUGUGACCAAAUUUAUUUAUUUAUUUAUUUAUUUAUUUAUUUAUUUGUUUAUUUUAAAGAUUGGCACCUGAGCUAACAUCUACUGCCAGCGUUCUUUUUUAGUUUUUUUCUUCUUUUUCUCCCCAAAGCCCCCCGGUACAUAGUUGUGUAUUAUAGUUGUAGGUUCUUCUAGUCGAGCUAUGUGGGAUGCCGUCUCAGCAUGGCUUGAUGAGCAGUCUGUGCCUGGGAUCUGAACUGGCGAAACCCUAGGCCGCUGAAGCAGAGCACAUGAACUUAACCACUCGGCCAUGGGGCCAGCCCCCCUGAUCAAAUUUAUUAACCUUUCCUUUUAUUUUUAUGUUUUUUAAAAAAAAUUGUGUAUGUAUCUUGUUUAAUAAACAUUUCCCUAUCUUUGUCA